GCGCCGUCGCCUAUCCGGGAGGGCCGCCGGGACGGUGGCCGCGCGGUGCUGUUUCUCUCCGAUGGCGGAGCGGAAGGAUGUCGCUGGUGGCCGGGCUGCUGGGCAGGGUGCUGUGGUUCUCCGGGCUCCGUAGCGGGGACCAUGCGCCGGGGAGCCAGGCCAUGGAGCAGGACAAAGCGCUCGAGGUGUAUGAUAUAAUUCGAACUAUCCGGGAUCCAGAGAAGCCUAAUACUUUAGAAGAACUGGAAGUGGUAACGGAAAGUUGUGUUGAAGUGCACGAGAUAGGAGAAGAUGAAUAUCUCGUUAUUAUCAGGUUUACACCAACAGUACCUCAUUGCUCUUUGGCAACUCUCAUUGGGCUUUGUUUGCGAAUAAAACUUCAGAGAUGUUUGCCUUUUAAGCACAAGUUGGAAAUUUAUAUAUCUGAAGGUGCCCAUUCCACUGAGGAGGACAGUAAGUGGAUUUUUAUAAAUUGAAUGACUGUGGCUUCAGACUCUGUGUGUGUGGCCCACCACCCUGGGUAUUAGUGCAGUGACAUAGUUGCAGGAUGAACCAUGCCAUUGGGAAAUCUCAAAAUUCAACAAGCAAAUAAAUGAUAAAGAGAGAGUAGCAGCUGCAAUGGAGAAUCCAAACUUGCGUGAAAUUGUGGAGCAGUGUGUUACAGAACCGGACUAGCAGCUACAGUAACCACAGAACUAUAAUCAUUUUGAUACAUUGGUUUAGUUAUUUGUAAAACUUCAAGGCCUUGAGUUUAAUACUUACAUUGUUUGUACCUUCCACAUGAUUUUUAAAGGAAACCAUUUAUAAAGUGGAUGUAAAUUAUAAGAAGGUGGGUAGCAGUAUAUAAAAUUAGAUCGAAGUGUAUAGUGUUCUAAAGAAUUUGUAAUAUUCAGUGUUCAAAGAGAAAUAUUUUAACUAGUUACUAUGAUCCAGCUGUGUUGCCUUCUUCUGAUGCACAUUGUGAUACAAAAUCAAUUUUGCAGGUUAAAGUUCCACUGUGCUCAAAUGGAAUAUGUUUCAAUCACUACACUGUAAAAAACCAACAAAAAAUAAAAAUUGAUUCUUAUAAUGAAAA